GUGCUCACUUCAGCAGUACGCACACUAAAAUUGGAAUGAUACAGAGCAGAUUAGCAUGGCUCCUGUGCAAGGAUGACAUGCAAAUUUGUGAAGCAUUUCAUAAUAAA
ensembl:snRNA U6 U6 spliceosomal RNA